UUUGUGUUAGACUAAGGUGAUGCAGUAUUCUAGUCAGUUUUUUCAGUCUGGAAGGCGGGGCUAAAAAUCCGUCAAAGGGCACAGCGAUGAAGGUUCUUGUUUUGGCUUCUGACGCCCAGUCGGGGGUCAUUUCAGGGAGUAAGAAGGCCGGGGCGAUCUGCAAUGGCAUGCAGGCGAUGACCCUCCCUUCGCGGAGACUGUCUUUUCUUGCAAAAGACAGAGAAACCUAUCGGAGGUCGGACUUGGGCUAGGCUGAAGGUAGAGUAGCCUGCCUUGAGUGGAAUAGGUAGAUAAGUGGAUCAAACCCAUAUGCCCUAGAGCUCAGGGAUGUUGGGUCCAUUGCUGCUUGAAACCUAUUCUGCAAAAGAGGCUAAGGAUUGAAAAAAUCUGUUGGGGAAAACUCCUAGACUGUAGCGUAGCAAGGGGAUUGCAGUGCGGACUAAGUGGUGAUCCAGUUUUGCAUACGGCGACAAUGCAAAAAGAGGUUUAAAGGGAAACCGCUAUCAUGGCGACAGGUAGUACUUCUUUGGGAAAUCCUACUGGACCUAAGCCGUAAAAUUUAUCCUUGCUGCCAUCACUUUUGAAUAUAAUAAA
rnacentral:sRNA from 1 species